rnacentral:rRNA from 1 species
UUUGUUGCGUNGUCUGUGAAAUUCCGGGGCUUAACUUCGGGGUGNCAGGCGAUACGGGCAUAACUAGAGUGCUGUAGGGGAGACUGGAAUUCCUGGUGUAGCGGUGGAAUGCGCAGAUAUCAGGAGGAACACCGAUGGCGAAGGCAGGUCUCUGGGCAGUAACUGACGCUGAGGAGCGAAAGCAUGGGGAGCGAACAGGAUUAGAUACCCUGGUAGUCCAUGCUGUAAACGGUGGGCGUUAGGUGUGGGGACCGGUUUGGUUUCUGUGCCGUAGCUAACGCAUUAAGCGCCCCGCCUGGGGAGUACGGCCGCAAGGCUAAAACUCAAAGGAAUUGACGGGGGCCCGCACAAGCGGCGGAGCAUGUGGAUUAAUUCGAUGCAACGCGAAGAACCUUACCUGGGUUUGACAUGCACCAGACGGUUGUAGAGAUACGUACCUCCCUUUGUGGUUGGUGUGCAGGUGGUGCAUGGUUGUCGUCAGCUCGUGUCGUGAGAUGUUGGGUUAAGUCCCGCAACAAGCGCAACCCUUGUCUUAUGUUGCCAGCACUUUGGGUGGGGACUCAUGAGAGACUGCCGGGGUUAACUCGGAGGAAGGUGGGGAUGACGUCAAAUCAUCAUGCCCUUUAUGCCCAGGGCUUCACACAUGCUACAAUGGUUAGUACAACGCGCUGCGAGCCUGUGAGGGUGAGCGAAUCGCUGAAAGCUAAUCUCAGUUCGGAUUGGGGUCUGCAACUCGACCCCAUGAAGUCGGAGUCGCUAGUAAUCGCAGAUCAGCAAUGCUGCGGUGAAUACGUUCCCGGGCCUUGUACAC